UGCGUAGGCGGUCCGGGAAGUUGGGUGUGAAAGCCCUCGGCUCAACCGAGGAAUUGCGCCCAAAACUGCCGGGCUCGAGGGAGACAUAGGUGAGCGGAACUUAGGGUGGAGCGGUGAAAUGCGUUGAGAUCCUAAGGAACACCAGUAGCGAAAGCGGCUCACUGGGUCUCUUCUGACGCUGAAGCACGAAAGCUAGGGGAGCGAAGAG
rnacentral:rRNA from 1 species